rnacentral:rRNA from 1 species
GACGAACGCUGGCGGCGUGCUUAACACAUGCAAGUCGAACGGAAAGGCCCUGCUUUUGUGGGGUGCUCGAGUGGCGAACGGGUGAGUAACACGUGAGUAACCUGCCCUUGACUUUGGGAUAACUUCAGGAAACUGGGGCUAAUACCGGAUAGGAGCUCCUGCUGCAUGGUGGGGGUUGGAAGGUUUCGGCGGUUGGGGAUGGACUCGCGGCUUAUCAGCUUGUUGGUGGGGUAGUGGCUUACCAAGGCUUUGACGGGUAGCCGGCCUGAGAGGGUGACCGGCCACAGUGGGACUGAGAUACGGCCCAGACUCCUACGGGAGGCAGCAGUGGGGAAUAUUGCACAAUGGGCGGAAGCCUGAUGCAGCAACGCCGCGUGCGGGAUGACGGCCUUCGGGUUGUAAACCGCUUUCGCCUGUGACGAAGCGGGAGUGACGGUAAUGGGUAAAGAAGCACCGGCUAACUACGUG